ACACUCGGGCAAAAAUAAAGUUAAAAAGAAAACAACCGAUUGUGAAGCUUCUGUGUCCUCUAUUUGAGGAAUUGAGAUAUUUCUGGGUGCACCUCCAUAGCCUACGACCCCUUCGAUUUCUGAUCCGACUUCUCAGCUGUUCAAAAUCCAAAUCCACUGAAAGAAGCUAUUUGAUUUAAGCAUGCGGUAUUCGAUUUCUGAUCCGACUUCUCAUAUUAUGAAGCGCUACCACUGUUCGUCCAAAGAAGCCUUACAAAGCUCUACUCAUGCAUAUUUUCGGUAAAUGUAUUUGAAAGCAUUCUAAUAUAUAUAAUCAUUGAACUGGUUUUUUUUUUUUUAUAAAACACUCGGGCAAAAAUAAAGUUAAAAAGAAAACAACCGAUUGUGAAGCUUCUGUGUCCUCUAUUUGAGGAAUUGAGAUAUUUCUGGGUGCACCUCCAUAGCCUACGACCCCUUCGAUUUCUGAUCCGACUUCUCAGCUGUUCAAAAUUCAAAUCCACUGAAAGAAGCUAUUUGAUUUAAGCAUGCGGUAUUCGAUUUCUGAUCCGACUUCUCAUAUUAUGAAGCGCUACCACUGUUCGUCCAAAGAAGCCUUACAAAGCUCUACUCAUGCAUAUUUUCGAUGGGAAUGCUGCUGAGGAUGCAGUGCCAAAGCAACCAUUACUGACUUACUGUUGUUAUGUUCUGAGAAUGCUUUGUAUUUAUAUUCCUUCACUCACAUCAUACAGGUUAUUAUUAGUCUUCUAAUUCAGUUUCUAAAGUAAAACUUAGAUUUCAUGAUGUGUUGUCCUUGUUUUUUUGGUCUUUAGGGAGUUAAGAAAGUCAUAUGCAAGAAAAAGUUUCAAUCUUCUUGUUGUUGGGCCUCAACAUUCUAUAGUUCCACUGAUGUUGGCCUUAUAACCCUUUUCACCAAUGGAAAAAUUGAGAUAAGGUAAUAGUAAAUUUUAAAGAAAUAUUACUGAGACAAGUGUAUAAUAUGCCUAAACAUAUGUGGGUUCUGGUUUUAUUUUCAUCUUCUCUUUAACUGGACCAAGGAAAAAAAAAAUAUAACAAUAAAGAUAGAAGAAGAAGAAGUCCGAUAAAUGUCUUUCAAUUCAGUUUGUUAUCGCUCUAACUCUCUGAUUUUCAGUGUACUACUGCUAUAUUUUGGUCUCUUUGGCCAGUGUUUUUCUUCUGGUGAACAGGUUUCGUUCAACACAUUUACUGUUUCCACUUUCCAGCUUCAGUUACCCUUCAACCACUCUCAAGUCCUUUGAAUUGCGUUAUAUAAGAGGUUGUACUUGUAGAAACUGAUUGUCGUUUGGGAAACCUUAAUAUAUUUUUAUCACUCUAUUUGUGCGUGAAUUGUCUCCUGGGAAUCAUGUUAACCUUUAGGUUCUCAUUUGUCUUAUUUCACAUAACAUAAAGGUAUUAGUUAAGAAAAAUGCAAUGUUAAUUGGCAUAGUUGUUGAAAUCACAGGUGAAGGAAAAACUUUCCAUGCUGUCAAUUUCUUAGGACAUGAAGCAAAAAUUGGUGAAUGAAAUUGUCAAGGAGUAUUGCCUCACACCAGAUAUUUUAGCACAUGAUUACUAUUAUGAAUGGGUAAAACUGAAGAUGAAGCUAACAAGUAGUGAAGACCAAGCAUUGACUACAGAUGUUCCAACUUCUUAUCAUGGCAUAUCUGAAGAAAGAUCAGAAUUGCAUACUUCAAAGCCUUUGCAAGAUCUAAGUUUAUCUGCUUCUGCUGUUACUUCAGAACCAAAGGUGUUGCCAACCAUUUCAAAGUCUCAAGGAGAGAAAGAAGAUAUUUCUUGUGGAGAUCUAAGUUUAUCUGCUUUCGUUAUCCUUUUUUGUCGUUUGGGAAACCUUAAUAUAUUUUUAUCACUCUGUUUAUGCGAGAUUGUUGUUUUAAGAAUUUUGUUGUUGUCCUUUUUUUGGUUCAUUGUCAAAUUGACACGUGUCCCCUUGCAGGCCAUUCUUCUCGCUAAUAGUUUUGCUACCACUUUCAGACCUAUCACCCUUGAACGCCCCAAGGGCUAUAUGGGGCUGGGACGAUUCAUAUACUUUUAUUGGUAACAUGAACAAAGGAGUGGAUGUCAUCUCACUUUCAGAAGGAAAAACUAUUGUGAUAUUACAGUGAACACAUGAAAGCAAUUCCAUGCAAAUUUAAUAACUAUUAUGUUUAUUAUAUUUCAACAAUUCAAUUGAUAAGCUUACAUUUCUUUUAA